rnacentral:misc_RNA from 1 species
GAUUAAGAACGCAGCGAAAUGCGAUAAGUAGUGUGAAUUGCAGAAUUCAGUGAAUCAUCGAAUCUUUGAACGCACAUUGCGCCCUUUGGUAUUCCUUAGGGCAUGCCUGUUCGAGCGUCAUUUAAACCUUCAAGCUCAGCUUGGUGUUGGGUGACUGUCCGCUUCACCGCGGACUCGCCUCAAAAUUAUUGGCGGCCGGUACAUUGGCUUCGAGCGCAGCAGAAACGCGAACUCGGGCCCGUCGUAUUGGCUCCCAGAAGCUAUCUUCACAAUUUUGACCUCGGAUCAGGUAGGGAUACCCGCUGAACUUAAGCAUAUCAAUAAGCGGAGGA